CCUCGAUUGAAUGUGAAGUUGUUGCCCAUGCAUUGACAUAUAAACUACAGACAAGUUUCCUAGCAAGGAAUUGGCUGAAAAUCAGUUUUCCCUGCUCUAUUUUCAUUUUGUGUUUUGAUUCUGUAAUUUUCUUUUUCUUCCUUUUUGUUGAUUUUGUUAAGGUUGGCAGCUUGGAAUCCAAGAAGGGGCAGCUGAUUAGGAUGAAAAUUGGGACAAGUUUGAAGAUGAAGGGAAUCUGAAGCCAAGAUGUGCAAGUUGUAGUUGUAUUAUAAUUUCGAUGAACUCUUGCCACUUCCGAGUUUCACAUUUGUCAAAGAGCUCACUCUUGAUGUGGAAAAGAGGGUGUACAUGUUUCAUCAACAAAUGCUGAUCAUAACUCAGAAAUGCCACCAAGUGGAGGGGAAAGGAUUGCUGAUGAUGCUCAUAGCGAAGACAGCGUAGAACUUCAGUGCAGAUGGUUCACCGCAUGCGAGAGAGACCUAGAGGGGUGUUGAAUCUGUGUUCUCUGGGGACAGAAGUGUUGAUGAACGAAACUGGGGUGCAUUUGACGCUCAUGAUUCCAACUUAGGCUGGGACUUCAGUUCUGGUCCUAUAAAGGUUUUGAUGUGUAAUAUUAGGAGACUUAGCAGCUGAGGACCUAGUGUUUGGAUACUCUGAAGGACUUCAUUCUGAUGUAGAAAAAGAUGGCUUUUGGCAUGGACUUGUGAAUAUUCCAUUUUUGUAUACGGAGGACAAUUUCCACUUUUGUAUAAUCCCGCUUUUUUGUUGUCCUUUGCUUUUUGUGUGAAUUUGUAUUACUUGUACAUAAUACUUUUGGCGGGGUACAUAACACUUUUGGCAUGGAACAGACAAUUAUUGUCGUGAUAUAUAGAUUACCUUUUGUCGUGGUACGGAUUAUCAUGUAAUUUGUACCAUGCCAAAUAGCCAUUUGGCAUAGUAGUAAAUAUAUUUUUGUGUAAGGAGGACAUGAUUUUCGUAUGAUUAUUUGUUUUGUACGGAAUUAUUAUUUUAAAUUGGAAUAUACUUGAUUUGUAUGGAAUUUGACAUUUAAAGUUAUUCAUUUUUAGAUGGUU